UACGUAGGGGGCAAGCGUUGUCCGGAAUCAUUGGGCGUAAAGAGCGUGUAGGCGGCCCGAUAAGUCCGCUGUGAAAGUCCAGGGCUCAACCCUGGAAUGCCGGUGGAUACUGUCGGGCUCGAGUACGGAAGAGGCGAGUGGAAUUCCUGGUGUAGCGGUGAAAUGCGCAGAUAUCAGGAGGAACACCAAUUGCGAAGGCAGCUCGCUGGGACGUUACUGACGCUGAGACGCGAAAGCGUGGGGAGCAAACAGG
rnacentral:rRNA from 1 species